GUUACUUUGGCAGAGUAGUGUAUUAGAUUUAGAAUCUAAAUAAGUAGUUUUACAAGUAACA
rnacentral:tRNA from 1 species